GGCGAGAUGGCUCAGCAGGUAAGAGCACUGACUGCUCUUCAGAAGUUCCUGGGUUCAAAUCCCAGCAACCACA
rnacentral:tRNA from 1 species